GCGGAUGUAGUUCAAUUGGCUAGAACGCCACCUUGCCAUGGUGGAGGUUGCGAGUUCGAGUCUCGUCAUCCGCUCCA
rnacentral:tRNA from 1 species